rnacentral:rRNA from 1 species
UACGUAGGGGGCUAGCGUUGUCCGGAAUCAUUGGGCGUAAAGCGCGUGUAGGCGGCCCGAUAAGUCCGCUGUGAAAGUCCAGGGCUUAACCCUGGGAUGCCGGUGGAUACUGUCGGGCUCGAGUCCGGAAGAGGCGAGUGGAAUUCCUGGUGUAGCGGUGGAAUGCGCAGAUAUCAGGAGGAACACCAAUAGCGAAGGCGGCUCUCUGGUACGUGACUGACGCUGAGACGCGAAAGCGUGGGGAGCGAACAGG